AAAUGAAUAGACGGGGGCCCGCACAAGCGGAGGAACAUGUGGUUUAAUUCGAUGAUACGCGAGGAACCUUACCUGGGCUAGAACGCUUCUGGAAUCAUGCCGAAAGGUGUGAGCCGGCAACGGCCGGGAGCGAGGUGCUGCAUGGUUGUCGUCAGCUCGUGCCGUGAGGUGUCGGGUUAAGUCCCAUAACGAGCGCAACCCCUACCGUUAGUUGCCAGCGGGUCAAGCCGGGCACUCUAAGGGAACUGCCGGCGUAAGCCGCGAGGAAGGCGGGGAUGACGUCAAAUCAGCACGGCCCUUACGUCCAGGGCUACACACGUGUUACAAUGGCCGGUACAGAGGGCAGCCACCCCGCGAGGGGGCGCGAAUCCCGAAAGCCGGUCUCAGUUCGGAUCGGAGUCUGGAACCCGACUCCGUGAAGCUGGAUUCGCUAGUAAUCGCGCAUCAGCCAUGGCGCGGUGAAUACGUUCCCGGGCCUUGUACACACCGCCCGU
rnacentral:rRNA from 1 species